AUGGCACACAAUUCCCGGUUUCAUUUCGGAGAGACUCGUGGAAAAAAAUAUGCAGAAAUUUACACUUCAUAUAUCACUCUCUCUCUCCAUCGAGAAAAGAGAACAUCAACAAGAGCUGAGAAUUCGACAAGGUACUUCAUCGACUCAAUACCUACCAGCCGACAAGUAAGCCACCAACAAGAAAACAAUUAUCAUAGGGCAUAUCUAUCUACUAGGACUUCAAUAUCACCAGGCAUCAUCAAUCUGCACUUCAGCAGCAACCACCAGCCAACAAAGAAAAGCACAAGCUGCACAUCCGGCUCCUCUUGCCACUUUACCUAA
rnacentral:rRNA from 1 species